rnacentral:rRNA from 1 species
UUUCUUCGGAAAUGGAUUAGCGGCGAACGGGUGAGGAACACGUGAAGAAUCUGCCCUCCACUUUGGGAUAGCACCGGGAAACCGGUGCUAAUACCGAAUAUUGAAACAUAAGUGGCAUCACUGAGUUUUGAAAGAAUUUCGGUGGAGGAUGACUUCGCGGCCUAUCAGCUAGUUGGUGAGGUAAUGGCUCACCAAGGCAACGACGGGUAGCCGGCCUGAGAGGGCGACCGGCCACACUGGGACUGAGACACGGCCCAGACUCCUACGGGAGGCAGCAGUGGGGAAUAUUGGGCAAUGGAGGAAACUCUGACCCAGCGACGCCGCGUGCGGGAUGAAGGCCUUCGGGUUGUAAACCGCUUUCAGUAGGGAAGAAGCGAAAGUGACGGUACCUACAAAAGAAGCACCGGCUAACUAUGUGCCAGCAGCCGCGGUAAUACAUAGGGUGCAAGCGUUGUCCGGAAUUAUUGGGCGUAAAGAGCUCGUAGGUCGUUUGUUACGUCGGAUGUGAAAACCUGAGGCUCAACCUCAGGCCUGCAUUCGAUACGGGCAAACUAGAGUUUGGUAGGGGAGACUGGAAUUCCUGGUGUAGCGGUGGAAUGCGCAGAUAUCAGGAGGAACACCAAUGGCGAAGGCAGGUCUCUGGGCCAAUACUGACACUGAGGAGCGAAAGUCUGGGGAGCGAACAGGAUUAGAUACCCUGGUAGUCCAGACCGUAAACGGUGGGCACUAGUUGUGGG